GAGAAAGGCCGUCCUCCCGUUGGAUUUGGGGAAACAAACGUCUGUGAAGCAUGGGAACCGCACGACUAGGAUGCACAUGUGGACUCCCGAGGUUGACAGUGACUUCUGCUGACAGCCAGCGAGAACGUGGAGACUGCCCAACUCUUUUUUUUUUUUUUUUUUUUUUGCGGUACCAAGGAUCACACUCACAACCUCGCACUUGCCAGGCAGUUGCUUACACCACUGAGCUAUAUCCCUAGCCCCUGACUGGGCCCCACUCUGCAAAGAACUAAGUUCUGCUGACACCAGUGAGCGUGGAAGAGGACCUCAAGGCCUGGGUAUUUGGAGGUAAAGGCUUGGGUGAAGUCGUGAGGAAGGGGCCUCCAUGGCAUUUGUGGCUUUAGAAGAGGAGAGAGACCUGAGUGAGCACAUCCGUUAUCUCACCACGUGAGCCCUCCCUCUACCAUGCUGCGAUCCUGCAUGAAGCCUUCAGCAAACACCAACAGAUGCAGGCACUGUGCUCUGGGACUUCCCGGCGUCCAGAACUACACUCACUGCCUGCCUUAGAACAAAUUCAAAUGGCAAAUUCGACUUCAGGUCUGAAAAAAAUGUGGCCUGCAGCCACCAAGUGCUGUUAUCUGAGUCCUCCAAAUGGUCCACAGGAAAAUGACGCUCAUUUGAUUGAUUUCUCCUAGCACCCAGCAGAUUGUGAUUCAUGGGCAAGAUACUCCCUGUGGUUGUUAGAAUACUUUCAAGCAAUGGACGUACUGAAGAGGCCUCUGCGUCUGAAGACAAGGUUCUAAAUGAGACGUCGUAAGCCUUGUUGCUGAGCAAAGGCUUCCCUUUGAAAUCUGUGACCUCCGCUUGCUCCUGGUUUUAGCAGAGCAUUGAACCUCAGCCAGUUUCACCAAAAUCUAUUGCAGGCUUUGAUCUUCAUCACAAACUGCAGUUCUGAGCUUUUGCCCCACUCGGGAAGUGGACCUCAAGAAACACUGCAGUUUCUGCAGGAUAACUUAGUCAGGUGCUCAAGCUCAUGACCAGUUUAGGGAGACAGAGCGGCAGGAGAGGGAAACUUGAACUCAUUGUCUAUGGAAAAGCACUUCGCCUCCUCCUUGCAGAGAGGGAGCAGUGACGAGGAGGUAUGGGACAGAGGAAAGAAGAAGAACACCUGAAUUUGAAAGGAGCCACCAUCUACAUUUAAGAAACAUGGGCCUGGAGCCUCCCUCGCUUGGGUGUCAGCAGAUGGAUGUCCUGAAAGGCCAUGAGUCCUAGAGGCUCGGUCACCACCCACUCAAGACAGACAGCAAGAAGGUGUCAUCUAUGAACCAGAAAGAGGACCCUUACCAGAGUUCAACCGUGCUGACACCCUGAGCUCAGACUUCCAGCUUCCAGUACUGUGAGAAAUCCCUGUUGUUUCUAAGCUGACCAGUCUAUGGCAUUUGAUUACAGAAGCUUAACAGCCUAAACCACUUGAUUCCCCAAUUUGUUAAACAAAAUCUGCCCCAGUCAGCUUGCUGGGAGAGGUAAGCCAGAAGAACCAAGAGCAACAUGUCUGGCACAUCCAGGUACUCCAAGAACAGCGAUCUCCUUCUCUCCUCCCAGUCUGCAAAAAGGGAGACUGUAAGCAGCUCCUCGUUUCUCAUGCAGAGCCAGAGCAGCUUUUAUUAUGUCAUCAAUUAUACAUGGGCCAGUGGCUGUGUGCUGGAGCCCUGGCAGCUGAGCAAGAUCUGC